GACAAAAAUCACUAAGUGAUUCUUCCCAUCUAUCCUAGACCUGGUGAACACAGUUACAUGAUACAUGUUGUUGGGAGGCGGCAAGUAUCACGUGGAAUUGAUCGAGGUGCGUGAAAGUUGGUACGGACACCAUGGUCAUCAAACCAGAAACAUCUGCAUGUAUUAAUUUUUUUGGAGACGUAAAAUCUGUAUUUGUCUUUCCCAGACAUG
rnacentral:misc_RNA from 1 species